AGGAAUAAGUCUUGACCAAGAGAUGGAAAAUCUGUAUCCCUCCAGGCCAAUUUCAUACAUCAGCUUUACGUCUUCCUGCAGAAGAAUAAGGUUAAGGUCACGAAUCCAACCAAUAAAAUAUUAGAUCAGGGUUUUCAAGCACCACUGUUGUUUCAUGCUAUCAAAAAUUAUUUCGUAAAUGUCUUUAGUGGGUACACACUCUUAAAAUACUAUAAAUCACAUAGCACACCCUCCUGUAACUAGAAUCUGAAUUGACAAUUGGUGGGACUUGAGCUCCAUACCCUGCAUAUUUUUAGCCCUUAGCAUAGCUAUAAGCAUAAAUUUUGAACCUAUUUACUGAAGUCAUGGGUUAGUUGUUUAUAUUUAAGAACCCUCCAAAGAGUAAAAAUUUUCACUUCGAGAAUCAGAAAUAAAUAUUUCAAACUAACUACUACUUUGGCUAGUCACAGGGCGUCAAAGAACCAUCUGUUCAUAAUUUCUUAGUUAAGAAAUAAAAUUGAAACUUUGAACCAUGAAAUGAAAAAUUUGAAAUUUGGUCGCCCAAAAGAGAAUAGAAUGAAUUAGGCUGUUGAUAAUUCAAAUAUGAUCCAUAUGAAUUUAAGUACCUAGACAAUGUGGAUCUUUCAAAACAUUUAUAAUAUUAAUCUAUUAAGUAGCGGUUAACAAUUAAUAUACAUUCAGCCAAAGGAAGGAAAUAAUCAAGUCUUGGCGAGGUGCACCCUAAAAGGAUUAUAGCUGUCCUCAUUGCCACAGUCAACUCUCUUCUCUCCCCCUUCAUCUCCCUCUUGUCUCCCUCGUCCACUCUCUCUAAAUGUGCAUAUAAUGGCGCGUGUUGGUAUGACGCAGUAUGCCCAUACACAGGUGCACGUCAGGACAAUGCGGGACCACCUGAUAGGGCACGGCACAGCAUGCAUGCAUACGGACGUGCACUCACAGGCCAAGGCGCACACAGCUUAGGGGGUGAGUGUGCAGAGGAGCGUGACGACACUACACAGCACAGUGGGGCACAGCACCAUGCGACGUGACAUGACUUGUAGAGGCACCAUAUGGGAGGCACGGUGCAGUGCAGAGAUAGGCACGCAGUGAGCAGCAGCUGGCGUGAAUAAGGGAAUGUCCCCUUGUCUUGAGCAGGGGCGGUUAUGGUAUUGCUUACAGCAACAUCCGGCAUGACCAUCACCACCCCAUAAUUGGCCGAGGUGGUUUUUUGGGGGACUUACGAGGGCUAGUUGGUGUAGGGGAGCCUCCUAUAAUGAGAGGUGACUUCAGAUUAGUGAAAAAAGCUUCUCCGUAUUGUGUAUCCUAAAAGAGUGAGCAACACCCCUCCCUCGAGUCCUUGUCUGUUGCCACAUAUCGGUGAGGCUCCUCAGCGUCUGUUGGACAGCAACUGAGGUCAAGAAGGGGAAGCGACAGCGGCGGUAAAGCUUAGAUCCUCAUAAAAACUAAUUUCUGCGUUUUAAUCACGACAGUCAGGGUCCAGAACACGUGAAAAUUCCUUGGGCUCUGGCUGAACAUGUCGAAGCUAAGACCCAAUCAGACCAACAAACCCUUACUGAAACAUGCAUAUCGCCUGUGGUUAUAACAAACAACGAAACAAUCACAAUAAAAAAUAUGGUUAGUUUUUUCAACAUUUAAUGGAUACAUAAUUUCAAAUUCUCCGUUCUUGAUGAAUAAAAGAUAUCCAGCGAGAAAAAGGCUUAAAGACCACGUGAGAUGUAACGUCGAGAAAGAUUUUUAAUUAAUGGAAAACCCUUUGUAUUUGGGUCUCCACGAGCAUCACGAAUGAUAAAAAAAGCUUAUCCUUUUUUGUGUGGAUACAAGGCUUCUUGUGGUUGAUUUUUAUGCAAAAUAGUUGCUUUGACAAACCCUGGACUCAGAUCGGAGAUCGGGAACAAUUAAAGAUGAUAAGCAGGGCUUUUAGGCCGGACGCCUAUACGCGUUCUGGGCUGUCUUGUGAGGAGGAUGUGACAGCACGGGAUGAUUGCUGGAGAAGGGAAUAAUAUCGAGAAAUAUUUUUAAUUAAAGGAAUGCCGUUUUAUUUUUGGUUACCAAGACACCACGAAUGAUAAGCAAAUAUGUUUUUUUCCCGUGGAUAUAAGGGCUCUUGUGGAUGGUAUAUACGCAAAACUGUUUCUUUUACAAACCCUUGACUCCGAUCUGGGCCAACUAAAGCUGUUAAACUGGACUUCUGGGCCGGACGCCUAUACUUCCCAGCCCCGAGGAGAUGCCAGGUCGAAAACCGAAAUACAGAGAGAACAACAAAAUGGAGCAGCUGAGGUUUGCCUUGUAAUGGUGGUAGCCGUCAGCCGCUACGUCUGCCGAACUCCCGUCGGGCAUCAUACCUGCAUUCCUCGGUCUCGACACAUGAGAAUAGAGAGAGGAAGGACGAAGAAGAUGAGGAAGGGGAAAGAUGAAGACCAAGGCCAUUUUGAGGAGGAAGAAGAAGAGGAAGAGGAAGAGGAAGAGGAUGAAGAUGAGAAGAAGACGGGGGGCAGAAGAUGGCGAUGGUGAUGAUGAGGAAAGAGAGAGGGGACUCAGGUU
rnacentral:lncRNA from 1 species